rnacentral:misc_RNA from 1 species
UUUCCGUAGGUGAACCUGCGGAAGGAUCAUUAUUGAAUAAACCUGAUGUGGCUGUUAGCUGGCUUUUCGAAGCAUGUGCUCGUCCGUCAUCUUUAUCUCUCCACCCGUGCACAUUUUGUAGUCUUGGAUACCUCUCGAGGCAACUCGGAUUUUAGGGUCGCUGUGCUGUACAAGUCGGCUUUCCUUUCAUUUCCAAGACUAUGUUUUUAUAUACACCAAAGUAUGUUUAAAGAAUGUCAUCAAUAGGAACUUGUUUCCUAUAUAAUUAUACAACUUUCAGCAACGGAUCUCUUGGCUCUC